AGACAUGAAGUGAGUCUGAAGAAGAGAAGUGGGUCCCACUCGAGCUCCUCAGGCAAAAGCAGCCUUUGAGGGUGCCACAUGCCUGCUUUCCAUCCAAGUUCACUGGGGUAGAGUACACAGGAGAAGCCGACGUAUGCAGGGAGACGUGCGGGGAGAGGGAAGACCAGCCGGCGAUUCAUGUAUUAAGUGAAGGAGUGUGAAAUAAAGAGCAUUGUUUAUUAUGCAAUACAGUUCAGCAAUUAUGGUGAUAUAGUUUAGGUUACACCUAUAAACAAAUUGAAUUCCUGUAUGAGAUUUACAGUAAUCUUACUGUAAAAAUACGGAAAGUGGGGAAAAAUGCAAUUCUGUUUAUUUGUGCCUUUCCAUUUCAGAUGAGGAAAUCCACUCACAAAUCCACUACAUUUGCUGUGCUCCUGCUUUGCUAGGCAUUAUUCAAGUGCCAAACAAAACAUAUUCAUCAUUGUCUUUUAAUCACAUCAAAAAGAAAUAUAGUGCCACCCCAGGGUGUUGGCAGGAAUAGACAGUCCUCUGUGAUGUUAUUGUUUCCAGUGCUGCCAAACAAUCCAGAAAAUUGACUUAGAAUAAAUGUAUUUUUAAUAUGAUAACUCAAGGCUGCCCCAGUGAAUACAGAGGCGCUCUUUGUCAAUUGUUUUUUUAGAGAUCAGUGCAGCACAUUAAAGAUAGGGAGCACUGUAUGAUACACAGCGAUUAAGCCUUCCUGCACUGCAUCCUCCUCUAGCUCUAGAUCCUCUGUGUUUUUAUGUACAUUUUCUACCCACCCUUGACCCUAACCUAGUGCAUGAGAUAAGUGAUGAUAUGACAUCACAUUAGCAUGCAAAACGGAUGCUGUAUCACUGCGCACAAUAUUGCCACAUCUGAGAAAUUUCUCAUAUAUUCUCAUGCAGUAUAUCCCAACAGCGUAUUCCAAUAACACAGUAACCGUAAAAUUAGAGCUGGUGUCUCAACUGAGUAGUGGAUGUUGGAAUUGCAUAUUUUUUAAGCUUCAGCAGAAAACUAAAUAAAAUAAAACAAAACAAGCCAAUAAAUGACAGGCUGAGCUGCCAGCAGCACAAUGAAUAGACCUCUAUUAUUCUCCAGAUACAUCUUAGUUUACGUGUGUGAGCACCAAACUCCAUGAUGCUCUGCUGACAGAUCUUCAGAACUAAUGUAUCAUUAUUUUUUUCCACUUGAAUUGUGGAAACGAGACUGAUUAUGUCCUUUCCCGCUUUGUUCCUACUAUA